GAUGAACGCUAGCUACAGGCUUAACACAUGCAAGUCGAGGGGCAGCAUGAACUUAGCUUGCUAAGUUUGAUGGCGACCGGCGCACGGGUGAGUAACACGUAUCCAACCUGCCGAUGACUCGGGGAUAGCCUUUCGAAAGAAAGAUUAAUACCCGAUGGCAUAAUUCUUCCGCAUGGUAGAAUUAUUAAAGAAUUUCGGUCAUCGAUGGGGAUGCGUUCCAUUAGGUUGUUGGCGGGGUAACGGCCCACCAAGCCUUCGAUGGAUAGGGGUUCUGAGAGGAAGGUCCCCCACAUUGGAACUGAGACACGGUCCAAACUCCUACGGGAGGCAGCAGUGAGGAAUAUUGGUCAAUGGACGAGAGUCUGAACCAGCCAAGUAGCGUGAAGGAUGACUGCCCUAUGGGUUGUAAACUUCUUUUAUACGGGAAUAAAGUGAGGCA
rnacentral:rRNA from 1 species